AAGGACAUGAGGGACCUUCGAAAUUUGGCCUCGAUGAACACCAAGAGGUAGCAUGGGACUCGAAGAAGGACAUGAGGGACCUUCGAAAUUUGGCCUCGAUGAACACCAAGAGGUAGCAUGGGACUCGAAGAAGGACCUGAGGGACCUUCGAAAUUUGGCC